rnacentral:misc_RNA from 1 species
GGAGAGGAAGCUAUAACCCAAAAGGCGGUGGAGAUAGUGGCCGGGGAAUAACAAGGCUGAACUCUCAGCUCAGCUUCACAACGCAAGAAGCUCUUUCUCAAAUAGCAGAGGAAAAUGAGGAUAUUGAAGGGACCAGUAUAGCCAAUGGCCACAGAAAGUCAACACAUUCUUAUGCCAGUGCAAGUAGUUUCGCGAUGGGUUCUUGGGAAGAUAACAACUCUAUAAUGUUCUCUGUCACACCUAGCAAACGAUCCAAGCAGAUUAGCAAUGACAUUG